UUUUCUCCAUCACUGUGCAGAGAGUCAUCAUUCUUUGAUGACUUCUGUCAAUGAGAAAACAUAGUAUGAUUAUAAGAUGAAAAAAAAUGGUUAUAGUCGGUUAAAAAAAUGUGAAGACAUGUAGCGGCGGAUGCUGUGUUUGAACUCCACUGCUAGGCAUAGCUACAAUAGACUGAACAGGUUUUGUGUAAGCCAUGGUUCACACCUUUGAAACUCGGACACAGGAUUUGCUAUAAACCAUAGGCCAGAAAGAAAUUACAUCGAACAACAG
rnacentral:lncRNA from 1 species